rnacentral:rRNA from 1 species
UACGUAGGGUGCGAGCGUUUAAUCGGAAUUACUGGGCGUAAAGCGUGCGCAGGCGGUGAUGUAAGACAGAUGUGAAAUCCCCGGGCUCAACCUGGGACCUGCAUUUGUGACUGCAUCGCUAGAGUACGGCAGAGGGGGAUGGAAUUCCGCGUGUAGCAGUGAAAUGCGUAGAUAUGCGGAGGAACACCGAUGGCGAAGGCAAUCCCCUGGGCCUGUACUGACGCUCAUGCACGAAAGCGUGGGGAGCAAACAGG